rnacentral:rRNA from 1 species
CCUACGGGUGGCUGCAGUGGGGAAUAUUGGACAAUGGGCGAAAGCCUGAUCCAGCCAUGCCGCGUGUGUGAAGAAGGCCUUCGGGUUGUAAAGCACUUUCAGUGGGGAAGAAAGCCUUGGGGCUAAUACCCUCGAGGAAGGACAUCACCCACAGAAGAAGCACCGGCUAACUCCGUGCCAGCAGCCGCGGUAAUACGGAGGGUGCGAGCGUUAAUCGGAAUUACUGGGCGUAAAGCGCGCGUAGGCGGUCUGAUAAGCCGGUUGUGAAAGCCCCGGGCUCAACCUGGGAACGGCAUCCGGAACUGUCAGGCUAGGGUGCAGGAGAGGAAGGUAGAAUUCCCGGUGUAGCGGUGAAAUGCGUAGAGAUCGGGAGGAAUACCAGUGGCGAAGGCGGCCUUCUGGACUGACACUGACGCUGAGGUGCGAAAGCGUGGGUAGCAAACAGGAUUAGUACCCGGGUAGUC